rnacentral:rRNA from 1 species
UACGUAGGGUGCAAGCGUUGUCCGGAAUUAUUGGGCGUAAAGAGCUCGUAGGCGGUUUGUCGCGUCGAAUGUGAAAACCCGGGGCUCAACUUCGGGCUUGCGGUCGAUACGGGCGGGCUAGAGUUCGGUAGGGGAGACUGGAAUUCCUGGUGUAGCGGUGAAAUGCGCAGAUAUCAGGAGGAACACCGGUGGCGAAGGCGGGUCUCUGGGCCGAUGACUGACGCUGAGGAGCGAAAGCGUGGGGAGCGAACAGG